GACGCUCGCGGCAUGCCUUACACAUGCAAGUCGAACGGCAGCACGGGAGCAAUCCUGGUGGCGAGUGGCGAACGGGUGAGUAAUACAUCGGAACGUGCCCAGUAGUGGGGGAUAGCCCGGCGAAAGCCGGAUUAAUACCGCAUACGACCUACGGGUGAAAGCGGGGGAUCGCAAGACCUCGCGCUAUCGGAGCGGCCGAUGUCAGAUUAGCUAGUUGGUGGGGUAAAGGCCUACCAAGGCGACGAUCUGUAGCUGGUCUGAGAGGACGACCAGCCACACUGGGACUGAGACACGGCCCAGACACCUACGGGAGGCAGCAGUGGGGAAUUUUGGACAAUGGGGGCAACCCUGAUCCAGCCAUGCCGCGUGCGGGAAGAAGGCCUUCGGGUUGUAAACCGCUUUUGUCAGGGAAGAAACGCUCCGAGCUAAUACCUCGGAGUAAUGACGGUACCUGAAGAAUAAGCACCGGCUAACUACGUGCCAGCAGCCGCGGUAAUACGUAGGGUGCAAGCGUUAAUCGGAAUUACUG
rnacentral:rRNA from 1 species